rnacentral:rRNA from 1 species
UACGUAGGGGGCGAGCGUUGUCCGGAUUUAUUGGGCGUAAAGAGCGUGUAGGCGGCCAGGUAGGUCUGCUGUGAAAACUCGAGGCUCAACCUCGAGACGUCGGCGGAAACCAUCUGGCUAGAGUCCGGAAGAGGAGAGUGGAAUUCCUGGUGUAGCGGUGGAAUGCGCAGAUAUCAGGAGGAACACCGGUGGCGAAGGCGCCACUCUGGGCCGGUACUGACGCUGAGGAGCGAAAGCGUGGGGAGCGAACAGG